UUUGUCUUAUAGUAAUAUUUUGAAAUUAAUUUUUUAGUUAAAAAGCUAAAAUUAACUUUAAAGACAAGAAGACCCUAUUAAGCUUUACAAUUUUAUAUUAUUUUCAAACUAAUAAAACAAUUGUUCUGCUGGGGCAGCAAAUAAAUAAAUAUUAUUUAUAUAUUGUGAUAAAUAAAUCUAGAAAAAUCAAUAAUUUAUUAAAUAAUAACAAGUUACUAUAGGGAUAACAGCAUAAUUUUUUUAAAGAGUUCUCAUCAACAAAAAAGUUUGUGACCUCGAUGUUGGAUU
rnacentral:rRNA from 1 species